rnacentral:rRNA from 1 species
GCUGAAGCAACAAAUGCCCUGCUUCCAGGAAAAGCCUCUAAGCAUCAGGUAACAUCAAAUCGUACCCCAAACCGACACAGGUGGUCAGGUAGAGAAUACCAAGGCGCUUGAGAGAACUCGGGUGAAGGAACUAGGCAAAAUGGUGCCGUAACUUCGGGAGAAGGCACGCUGACACGUAGGUGAAGUGAUUUACUCAUGGAGCUGAAGUCAGUCGAAGAUACCAGCUGGCUGCAACUGUUUAUUAAAAACACAGCACUGUGCAAACACGAAAGUGGACGUAUACGGUGUGACGCCUGCCCGGUGCCGGAAGGUUAAUUGAUGGGGUCAGCGCAAGCGAAGCUCCUGAUCGAAGCCCCGGUAAACGGCGGCCGUAACUAUAACGGUCCUAAGGUAGCGAAAUUCCUUGUCGGGUAAGUUCCGACCUGCACGAAUGGCGUAAUGAUGGCCAGGCUGUCUCCACCCGAGACUCAGUGAAAUUGAACUCGCUGUGAAGAUGCAGUGUACCCGCGGCAAGACGGAAAGACCCCGUGAACCUUUACUAUAGCUUGACACUGAACAUUGAGCCUUGAUGUGUAGGAUAGGUGGGAGGCUUUGAAGUGUGGACGCCAGUCUGCAUGGAGCCGACCUUGAAAUACCACCCUUUAAUGUUUGAUGUUCUAACGUGGACCCGUUACCCGGGUUGCGGACAGUGUCUGGUGGGUAGUUUGACUGGGGCGGUCUCCUCCUAAAGAGUAACGGAGGAGCACGAAGGUUGGCUAAUCCUGGUCGGACAUCAGGAGGUUAGUGCAAUGGCAUAAGCCAGCUUGACUGCGAGCGUGACGGCGCGAGCAGGUGCGAAAGCAGGUCAUAGUGAUCCGGUGGUUCUGAAUGGAAGGGCCAUCGCUCAACGGAUAAAAGGUACUCCGGGGAUAACAGGCUGAUACCGCCCAAGAGUUCAUAUCGACGGCGGUGUUUGGCACCUCGAUGUCGGCUCAUCACAUCCUGGGGCUGAAGUAGGUCCCAAGGGUAUGGCUGUUCGCCAUUUAAAGUGGUACGCGAGCUGGGUUUAGAACGUCGUGAGACAGUUCGGUCCCUAUCUGCCGUGGGCGCUGGAGAACUGAGGGGGGCUGCUCCUAGUACGAGAGGACCGGAGUGGACGCAUCACUGGUGUUCGGGUUGUCAUGCCAAUGGCACUGCCCGGUAGCUAAAUGCGGAAGAGAUAAGUGCUGAAAGCAUCUAAGCACGAAACUUGCCCCGAGAUGAGUUCUCCCUGAGACUUAAAGUCUCCUGAAGGAACGUUGAAGACGACGACGUUGAUAGGCCGGGUGUGUAAGCGCAGCGAUGCGUUGAGCUAACCGGUACUAAUGAACCGUGAGGCUUAACCUUACAACGCCGAAG